UUGCUUAGUUGUAUAAUGCUUGUACGUAAUGUUAAAUACAAAGAAACAUCAAAAAGCCAGUCUAUCCCUCUCCCAGUGGCCCCUCUUUUGCUUCGACUCUGAAUCGAGGUUUAGUUUGAAAGUGCUGAGUUUCUCACAUCCCCUGCUCUGAGACCACAAGGCACGUUUUUGGCUUGCGUUUCCGCCUGGACAUUUCCAGGAAAUUCACCACUGCUUCUUGCCUGUAUUAGAAACGUGUGAAAGAAUUACUUUGAGAAGUCCGUGCAACAUCUAGUUUCUCCCUCUUCUUUCUCUGUCUCUCUGUCUCCUUCUCCCUCUCCCUCCCUCUCUCCCCCCCCUUUCCUCCCACCUCCCUCCCUCUUUCUUCCACCCUCCUUCUCCCCCUCCCUUCGCAGAGCCUCAGGAAAAGAAGAAUGUCGGCUUCGACUGCCAUCUUUUGGGGAUUUGGAAAAACGACUCGGUAGUGCCUUCCUCAGUCUCUUGGGGCAUACUUCUUUCCGGAUCUGGCACAAACUACCCCGCAGGGCUUAAAGACAUGCUGAUGACAGAUGAUGAAGGUGGCUAAUCAUUUAGAAAACAUGUCAAAGAAGAAUAUAUGUUAAGAAAGAGAGACGGAUGGAUAAGACCAGAAGCAUCACUGAAGUCAUCGUGAGUCUCUAAUUCUUGAUCUGGUUUGCUGCUCAACCGAAAUGAAAUUUAGUUCACGAGUCAUUUUCUUUGUUGGUUUUGUGUAGAAAACGCUUAGAAUUACCCUGAUAUCAUGAACAUUUAGGUCUGGUACUGAGAGGCACGCAAGUAUGACAGGACUAAAUUAUCAAAAUGUAUGCGCCGGGGGAAACCAAAAUAGGUUUUUGCGGUUUUCAUUAGCACAGGUCAUAUUAAUUUAAUUAACAUGAUUGAAGAUAAUAUCACUGGGUGAGGCAGCAGAUACCUAGCCUUGACCUAUUACUCACCCGUAGG
rnacentral:lncRNA from 1 species